UGGGGAGUACUAUUUUUCGGUUGAUUCAUGUUUUGCUGUGCCUUAGCCAACAAUAAAAGUGGAACUAAACCAAAAAUACUCUCGACACGAUGCCUUCUUUGCCUCAGCCAGGCACGGUCACCAUUUGCGAAAUCAACAGGGAACUAGGGGAAUGUAUUCAGUCCGAUCCAAUUUGAAUCAGAGAGGUUGUUGGAGGUGGGGACUGAGCAGGAAUCAGUUGAACGGAGGCAUUCCAUAUGCGGUACUAGAGGCUCUGUUGAGAGGCUCCCUCAGGCCUCUUUUGCUUUGCAGCCUGCCGAUGUAAUGUAAUGAUCAUCCUACACUUGCUCCCUAGUUAACAGUUUUAUAAAUUACACCUGUUUCGACAUUAUUGUUUCAAGUUAUGAAAUUACUUGGCCUAAAAUUAAGCCAAUUACUCGUUA